GCACGGGUCGCAAAAGCGACUUUCUGGUCUGUAACUGACACUGCAGGCGCGAAAGCGUGGGGAGCAAACAGGAUUAAAUACCCUGGUAGUCCACGCCGUAAACGAUGAGUGCUAAGUGUUAGAGGGUUUCCGCCCUUUAGUGCUGAAGUUAACGCAUUAAGCACUCCGCCUGGGGAGUACGGCCGCAAGGCUGAAACUCAAAGGAAUUGACGGGGGCCCGCACAAGCGGUGGAGCAUGUGGUUUAAUUCGAAGCAACGCGAAGAACCUUACCAGGUCUUGACAUCCUCUGAAAACCCUAGAGAUAGGGCUUCUCCUUCGGGAGCAGAGUGACAGGUGGUGCAUGGUUGUCGUCAGCUCGUGUCGUGAGAUGUUGGGUUAAGUCCCGCAACGAGCGCAACCCUUGAUCUUAGUUGCCAUCAUUAAGUUGGGCACUCUAAGGUGACUGCCGGUGACAAACCGGAGGAAGGUGGGGAUGACGUCAAAUCAUCAUGCCCCUUAUGACCUGGGCUACACACGUGCUACAAUGGACGGUACAAAGAGCUGCAAGACCCGCAAGGUGGAC
rnacentral:rRNA from 1 species